UCAGCUGAAGUUGCCACCUAUAUUAUCCACAUGGAUUUAUCAGCCAUUCCCAGAGCCUUCUCAGGCCACCGCAGCUGGUAUACCUCCGUCGUCUCUGCCGCCGCCACCACCCCCUCCGACUCGAUCUCUGCAACCUCCAACCUCAUCUACGUCUAUGACAAUGCUAUUCAUGGAUUCAGCGCUCGACUCUCGCCAUUGCAGCUCCAACAGCUCAAGAGAUCACAUGGCUACUUAUCGUGCUAUCGCGAAAUGCCGAUGACGGUUGACACCACCCACACCCCCGAAUUUCUCCACCUUAGUUCAGGUUCCGGUCUAUGGCCGGCCUCCAACUAUGGCGAGGACGUCAUAAUUGGGGUGGUCGACUCCGGGAUAUGGCCCGAGAGAGAGAGCUUCAGCGACGACAGCAUGACCGACGUGCCUGCCAGAUGGAAGGGCGUCUGCGAGCAAGGUACUGCUUUCAGCUCCUCUGCGUGCAACCGGAAGCUCAUCGGAGCCCGGAGCUUCAACAAGGGCUUGCUCGCUGCAAACCCAAACCUCACCAUUGCGGUCAAUUCCCCACGUGACACCGACGGUCACGGCACGCACACCUCCUCCACCGCCAUCGGGAAUUACGUCCCCGGCGCGUCCUUCUUUGGGUACGCACCCGGCACGGCCCAGGGGAUGGCGCCCCGUGCGCGGCUGGCCAUGUAUAAGGCUAUUUGGGACGAAGGAGCCGUCACGUCCGACAUCAUCGCCGCAAUCGACCAAGCUAUAUCUGAUGGCGUGGAUGUCAUCUCCCUAUCUCUGGGCCUCGGCUUCUUCCCCCUCUACAAGGAUCCCAUUGCCAUGGCCUCCUUCGCCGCCAUGGAGAAGGGGAUAUUCGUCGCGACCUCGGCGGGCAACUAUGGCCCAGGCUUGCGGGUCCUGCACAACGGGACCCCCUGGGUCACCACCAUCGGUGCUGCCACCGUCGACCGGGACUUUGCCAGCAUCGUCGAUCUCGGAGAUGGCAGCUCCAUCAACGGGCAAUCAAUGUACCCUGGAAGGCCACCUUCCACUAGGCAUCAUGCAUUGCCCUUGGUGUUCAUGGGGUCUUGUGGCAACAGGACCUUGCUGAAGAAUGCGCGUCACAAGAUGGUAGUAUGUGAUGCCAAGGAUCUUGAAUUCGCCACCUCUCAAGUUGAGUCUACUACAGUGGAUGCUGCCCUCUUCAUAUCUGCUAAAGUGGACUUAUACGUCAAAUUCUCGUUUCCUGGGGCUAUCAUUAGCCCUCAAGAUGGUAAGACCAUCUUGGAGUACAUAAAUAAAAGCUCGAACCCGAGAGCCAUGUUGAGAUUUCGGGAGACCAUCUUGGGCACAAAGCCUGCCCCCAUGGCGGCUGACUACACCUCCAGAGGGCCCUCGGUGAGCUGCCCAACUGUGCUGAAGCCAGACAUUUUGGCUCCUGGCAGCUUCAUCCUAGCAGCUUGGGCACAGAAUUCAUCGAUAGGGUUCGACGGGUCUCAUAAAUUGUAUAGCCCAUUCAACAUCGUAUCAGGAACAUCCAUGGCCUGCCCUCAUGCAGCAGGCAUAGCUGCGAUGAUCAAGGGUGCAAGGCCGGACUGGAGCCCUGCGGCGAUUCGAUCUGCGCUGAUGACCACCGCAAACAAUUUGGACAAUACCAUGAUGCCAAUUAGAGACAUGGGGUAUGCCGAUCGGCCAGCAGCAACUCCGCUGGCUAUCGGGUCCGGUCACAUUGAGCCCAACAGGGCACUCGAUCCUGGUCUUGUCUAUGAUGCCAGCACCGAUGACUAUGUGAGACUCUUAUGUGCCAUGAAAUAUACCAGCAAGCAGAUAAAGACGAUCACCAAGACCUAUUCUUUCGAUUGCUCUCAUGCAUCUUUAGAUCUCAAUUAUCCAUCGUUCAUUGCAUUCUUCAAUCCUAACAAGACUGCUGCUAGUGAUGAGGUUGUCCAAGAGUUCCGAAGGACGGUAACGAAUGUGGGAGAUGCGGUGGUGACUUACAACGCCAAGGUGGUGGCUAUGAAGGGGUUUGCAAUUAGGAUCGUGCCGGAGAAGUUAGUUUUUUACGAGAAGUACGAGAAGAAAAGUUUCGCUCUCAUUCUGGUGGGCCAGAUGGGGAAGAAAGACGAUGAGGUGCUUCACGGUUCAUUAAGUUGGGUGGAUGAUAAAGGGAAGUAUGUGGUGAGGAGUCCUAUAGUGGCAACUACCAUCAACUCAACUCGAUUGUAGAUUGUAGAUUGUAAGGAGGAGGGGCAAGCUAAUUAGGUUUAGGUCAAAUCAAACAUAUUUUUAUUGACCCGCACUAAAUGUAGAUGACCUACAUAUGGGGCGAAUUGGGUCGAGUCAUAUUAGAAAUUGCAAAAUGUAAACCCGACUUGGUUUUCUAAAUGGAUUUAAUUUUUUUCGACCCUAAACCAACUAAUGGUCUGUCGAAAACAGAAUGGGAGAGAUUUGAUUGAGUUAGAAUCAAGCCGGAUCAUGAGUCACCCCCAAUUCAUUUGCAGUGUCCUGGACACAUCCAAUGGCAUCGCUCUAGAUGUCUGGUCUCUAAGAAUUCCUUGCAACAAUGAUCAAAUUAAAAAAUGGGGCGCAUGGUAAAAAUUGAAACGUCCAUGGGUACAAGGGAGGAUCUAGCUUAAUCGGUAAUUUAUUUGAAAUUAUUAACUAAAAAGUGAUCCCUAGAUCAAAAACGAUAAGAUAUAGAUUAAUAUCUAUGUAACUUUGAGAUAAAUUAUAUGUCAAGUUAAUUUCAAUACAAUCUUCUAAGAAGCUAAUGUAAUUAGUAGAUAGGAAUAUCUUCCCAAAUUUGUUUCGCAUAGUUUCAUAGCUUGUAUGAGACAAGUCUCAUGGACUAAGACAUCUUUAGGCCAUCCCAAUCUUUUUUGUCCAUUCUCCCUUUGAAGACAUCUAGUAAAAUUGAGACAUCUCAUCAUUUCUUUUCUUUCAUCGUGGGCAAUAUUCUUCUUUACAUUUGUUCCAGUACUUGCUAGCUAUAGUAUGCUUUUGCUCAGCAGAUACUUUGUUUUUUUCUUGAAACAAUGCUUACUUGAUACAUGUUUUUUUGUUUUGGAUGACAAUUAGAGGAAAAUAUCAACUUUCAUUUCAUAGAGACGAUGACAUGAAGCUUAUAAGAAAUUGAAAACGUUACACAUUAAAAAGCUAGGACAUUCUUUUAACACUUUCUUAAAGGCAUUCUUUAUCCAAAGUAUCCAAUAGGAUUCAGCUAGCUUAUGGGAUUUAAAAAUGAUAAACUGUUUGAUUAGUGAAGUUGGAAAGGUCACAUACAAGGCCGGCGAUGAACAUUAACGUAACAUCAACAUAUUCGACAGCAACUAGCAUAUCAAGGUUUGGAAUCAACAUAUUCACAUACAAGGCCGGUAAUGAACAUUAACGUAACAUCAACAUAUUCGACAACAACUAGCAUAUUUAGGUUUGAAAUAAACAUAUUCACAUACAAGGUCGCCGAUGAACAUCAACAUAACAUUAACAUAUCCGACAGCAACUAGCACAUCAAGGUUUAAGAUAAACAUAUUCACAUACAAGGCUGGCGAUGAAUAUUAACAUAUUUGAUAGCAACUAGUAUAUGAAGGCUUGAAAUUAAGCUUAUAAAUUAAAACUUCAUAUAGAGAGGCUGAUUGGGAACCCCACCAAAAGAACAACCAUGCCACUGAUAGAAAAUGGGACCAACAAAAGAUAAUCCCUGUUGGAAAAGUCCACUAGGGUUUCUUUCUUUUGCACCACUUUGAUGCUCUCCAGUGUCCAAUUAUUGGUUACUAGAUAGCGUUCUUUAUCUAGAUAUGUCUCCCCUUCUCAAAGUAGGAUUGUUGAGUCAAGUCUUGCGAAGCCCAAGCUCUUAACUGAUUUAUUGGUUCUGUUGUUUGAGGCUUGAGACUAUAAUUUCUAGUUCACUCUUAGCUAACCAGACAAACAGACAUACAUACAUUAUGUAUACAUAUGGUGCUAUAUAAUAUUCGAUAAUUUUAUAUAAAAUUUCUCUCAUUAAGUGAAUAUCAGAAAUGAAUGAAUAGGGUCUUAAUUAUAGGGAGACCAUAAUUUCUAGUUCACUCUUAGCUAACCAGACAUGCAUACAUACAUACAUACAUACAUUUUAUGUGUAUCUAUAGUAUUAUAUAAUAUUUGAUAAUUCUAUAAAAAAAUUUCUCUCAAUAAGUGAAUAUCAGAGAGAGAAAUGAAUGAAUAGGGUCUUGAGAGGGAGGAAAAGAAGAAAAACAUAAGAAUGCUAGAAAACAAACAUAUAAAUGGAAUAAAACUAUUUUAGAAAUUUAUUAAGAUUAGGAAAUUAUGGGCCUAACUUGUAAAAUUGAUUUGGUUUGAUUGUAAGGUUAUCAAAAAAAUUCCAAGAUUGCUUGCAUCAGGGCUCUAGCUGGUGGGAAUUACCAAAAGUCACAUCUUAUAUGGUGGAGGUGGGCGUAUCUUGUAACAAGACGAGACGAGCGGAGGUGGUCCCUCUGAAGGAAGAUUGCUUGAAUCACGGCUCUAGUUGUUGCCUAGCGCUCGGUCAAAACUAAGGAUUCUAUUUUAUUGCAUAUGUCAUUGCUUCAUGGAGGUAGAGUAGAAGAGGUGCUUUCAGAUCAUAUGGGCAUCAAAGCAGCAUACCCUACUUAUUGAUAAUGCCAUUGCUUUGUGACAGGGAGAGUUGGUCACAGACCAUAAAGGCCAAGGGCAAGUGGACUGAAUUGAUCAGUAUCUCUUCGAACCGAUCGAAUGCGACCUAGCUGAACCCGAAUGGGAAUCACUCGGACUAACUUUGUAUUGAAAUUUCGACCUCUACUGCAUUGCAGAUCGGAUACAUAAAUGCAGUAAAUAUGUCAAAGAAUCCCAUUCAAUUGGAAGAGGGAUGCAACCACUCGGCUAUCGCAGUGUUUGUGACCCUCGAAUAUGGAUCAUCGAAUAUGGAUACAAUUAAGUGGCAUGGUACAUGUCUUUUAAGACUUAUGUUGGGGUUGUUUUCGACUUGAUUAGAUUUGAAAAACACAAUGGAUCGAUAAUAAUAAGCCUUAAUACGAUCGAAUGCAACUUAAGUUAAAUUGAAUCAGGAUUGGAUUCGAACUUUUGAUUCCAUUUAUGUAAGCACUGGAAUAAGUCAUGAGUCACAAACCUCAUGAAACCUGACCUGCUGUUAGCCUUGGCUGCAUCAAGGGUUUGUCACUUAAGGAGAUACUUACGAAUUGCAAAUAGGUUAACUAUAAGCUCUGGAUAACCUGGCCCAGUUUUCAGAGUUCUAAGGUUCUGCCUUGUGCCUUGGCUAUGCGUGUAGCUAAGGUGCAAACCAGGCUGGCUGUGAGUCAUGCAGCGGGCUCCCACCUUUUUGUACGUAUCCAAACUUUUUAGCGGUCCCAACUUGGACUAUGUCCAUGACGUUCCAACCGUGUUGUGUGAGUUGUUGCAUGUCCAAAAAAUAGGACAAUCUAAUGGUGAUUGGCCAACCACCUUAGUUUUAAUAGAUCCUAUGCACUCAAAGUCUAAGUUACAGUGAAUUGAUGUCUUAUGGUCCGUUGUAUUAUGCUGCCAGCUGCAGUAGGAUGAACAGAGAGACAGAGUCUGGACCACGAAAAACAGUAGUUUUAAAACCAUCUUGUGUAACUUCAAUCAAUUAAUUAUUUUAAUUGAACAACACUAAUAAUUCUAUGAGAUUAGCAUUCUUGAUUAAUAACUAUAUAUGAUUGUUAUAGCCUAGUGAUCUCUAUUUUAAAUGAAUGAGAUCCAUAGAUAGAGAUAGAAAUUAAUGUAAAAGAGUAUAACCACCGACAGAGAAUGCCCCAUGGAAUGGACUGAGCGAGUUAGUAUCUGAAAUAUUUGUUUUCUUAAUUCACCAAACACAUGCAUCAUGUGCUAAAUAAUAAUUUCUAGUAUUGUGAUUGAAUUUAGAAUUGAAUUUAGAAUCAAAUGAAACUUUGAAUUUAGAAUUGAAUUUAGAAUCAAAUGAAACUUUGUCAUUGCUUCUUAAGUGUCGGCAUAUGGUUGAUAUGGUAUAAAUGGAGCAAUAUAUAAAAUGCUACACACCACAUGUAUAACAUUUUUAUGUGAACUACAUGUAGUAGUUACCUGAUUACCGUCUUUAUAUUAUUCCUCCAGAUCACUUUUGGUUCUUGACUUGCAGCAAUGUGACCCAAGGGACCCAGCAGCUGGGUGAAUAGUAUUAUUCCUCCCCACUCCCCGCGUUUCACGAGAAGUAUGAGAAGAAAAGCUUCGCUCUCAUUAUGGUGGGCCAGAUGGGGAAGAAAGCCGAUAAGGUGCUCCAUGGUUCAUUAAGCUGGGUGGAUGAUAAAGGGAAGUAUGUGGUGAGAAGUCCUAUAGUGGCAACUACCAUCAACUCAACCCGGUUGUAGAUUGUAAAGAUGAGUGCCAAUUACAAUGUCUCCUCUUCUUGUCUUUGCCUUCCUAUGGAAAAUGUUGCAAGUUAUUUACUAACCAAAAGUUUAAUUUGCAAGAAUAAAGAAAACUCCCCAGCAGGAACAUAUGCAUUAAUUAAUUUGUUUAUAAUCUUGCAUUAUUCCAAAUAACCACAAUAAAUGGCCAUUUCAAGAAGUGGCCUGUUAUAAAUUUGGAGCCAGAAAAUCCUCAUUUGAGAAUGAGUUGCUUGUCGCGAAUCAUGACCGACCUCCUUGUGGACCCUUAAUCUCUAUGAUUCAUUGACGUUGCCUAGCUACCUUCUUGAUAGAGACUUUGUUUGGUUGAGUGUCAUCUUGAGAUCCAUUUUAUUACAAUGUAUUGAGCAUGGCCAUUUAAGCACGAUACUGUCCUUCUUUUCCUUCUCCUUCUCCUUCAUAUUCUUCUUCUUCUCCUCUUUCUUCUUCUUCUCCUCCUCCUUCUUCUUCUACAACUUCUCCUGCUUCUUCUUAUUCUUCUUCUCCUCCUCCUCCUCCUCCUCCUCCUCCUCCUUCUUCUUCUCCUCCUCAUCCUCCUUCUUCUUCUUCUCCUGCUCCUUCUUCUUCUGCUUCAACUUCUUUUCCUUCUCCUUCUUCCUCUCCCUCUCGUUCUCUUCUUCUUCUGCUGCUACACACCACACGUAUAACAUUUUUGCGUGAACUACAUGUAGUAGUUACCUGAUUACCGUUUUUAUAUUUUUCCUCCAGAUCACUUUUGGUUCUUGACUUGCAGCAAUGUGACCCAAGGGACCCAACAGCUCGGUGAAUAGUAUUCCCCACUCCCCGCGUUCGACUUCUUGGCUUGUAGCAAUGCGACCCAAAGCACCCAACUACUUGGUGAAUAGUAUUCCCUCGUUUGCUUUUUUUUUUUUGCUCUUCCUUAUAUACACAUAGCACAGAGGCUUCCCUCUAAUCUAUGUGACGCCACAACACCACCAUGGCACUUCUGUCGUCCUUCCACUAUGUGUGGAUGGCAAUAGCCAUACUUACCUCACAGAUGAUACCAAUAUCAGCUGAAGUUGCCACCUAUAUUGUUCACAUGGACUUAUCAGCCAUGCCGAGAGCCUUCUCAGGCCACCGCAGCUGGUAUACCUCCGUCGUCUCUGCCGCCGCCACCUCCGACUCGGUCUUUGCAGCCUCCAACCUCAUCUACAUCUAUGACAAUGCUAUUCAUGGAUUCAGCGCUCGACUCUCGCCAUUGCAGCUCCAACAGCUCAAGAGAUCACAUGGCUUUUUGUC
rnacentral:lncRNA from 1 species